CAGUCGCCACGGGAAUACGAAGGGUGCAAGCGUUACUCGGAAUUACUGGGCGUAAAGCGUGCGUAGGUGGUGGUUUGAGUCCGUUGUGAAAGCCCUGGGCUCAACCUGGGAAUUGCAGUGGAUACUGGAUCACUAGAGUGUGGUAGAGGAUUGUGGAAUUUCCGGUGUAGCAGUGAAACGCGUAGAGAUCGGAAGGAACAUCUGUGGCGAAGGCGACUAUCUGGGCCAACACUGACACUGAGGCACGAAAGCAUGGGGAGCAAACAGGAUUAGAGACCCCCGUAGUCCCUGUCUCUUAUAC
rnacentral:rRNA from 1 species